GGUUAAGCGACUAAGCGUACACGGUGGAUGCCCUGGCAGUCAGAGGCGAUGAAGGACGUGCUAAUCUGCGAUAAGCGCCGGUAAGGUGAUAUGAACCGUUAUAACCGGCGAUUUCCGAAUGGGGAAACCCAGUGUGACUCGUCACACUAUCAUUAACUGAAUCCAUAGGUUAAUGAGGCGAACCGGGGGAACUGAAACAUCUAAGUACCCCGAGGAAAAGAAAUCAACCGAGAUUCCCCCAGUAGCGGCGAGCGAACGGGGAGGAGCCCAGAGCCUGAAUCAGCAUGUGUGUUAGUGGAAGCGUCUGGAAAGGCGCGCGAUACAGGGUGACAGCCCCGUACACAAAAGCGCAUGUGCUGUGAGCUCGAUGAGUAGGGCGGGACACGUGGUAUCCUGUCUGAAUAUGGGGGGACCAUCCUCCAAGGCUAAAUACUCCUGACUGACCGAUAGUGAACCAGUACCGUGAGGGAAAGGCGAAAAGAACCCCGGCGAGGGGAGUGAAAAAGAACCUGAAACCGUGUACGUACAAGCAGUGGGAGCACAGGUUUACCUGUGUGACUGCGUACCUUUUGUAUAAUGGGUCAGCGACUUAUAUUCUGUAGCAAGGUUAACCGAAUAGGGGAGCCGGAGGGAAACCGAGUCUUAAUUGGGCGUUAAGUUGCAGGGUAUAGACCCGAAACCCGGUGAUCUAGCCAUGGGCAGGUUGAAGGUUGGGUAACACUAACUGGAGGACCGAACCGACUAAUGUUGAAAAAUUAGCGGAUGACCUGUGGCUGGGGGUGAAAGGCCAAUCAAACCGGGAGAUAGCUGGUUCUCCCCGAAAGCUAUUUAGGUAGCGCCUCGUGAAUUCAUCUCCGGGGGUAGAGCACUGUUUCGGCUAGGGGGCCAUCCCGGCUUACCAACCCGAUGCAAACUGCGAAUACCGGAGAAUGUUAUCACGGGAGACACACGGCGGGUGCUAACGUCCGUCGUGAAGAGGGAAACAACCCAGACCGCCAGCUAAGGUCCCAAAGUCAUGGUUAAGUGGGAAACGAUGUGGGAAGGCCCAGACAGCCAGGAUGUUGGCUUAGAAGCAGCCAUCAUUUAAAGAAAGCGUAAUAGCUCACUGGUCGAGUCGGCCUGCGCGGAAGAUGUAACGGGGCUAAACCAUGCACCGAAGCUGCGGCAGCGACACUGUGUGUUGUUGGGUAGGGGAGCGUUCUGUAAGCCUGCGAAGGUGGCCUGUGAGGGUUGCUGGAGGUAUCAGAAGUGCGAAUGCUGACAUAAGUAACGAUAAAGCGGGUGAAAAGCCCGCUCGCCGGAAGACCAAGGGUUCCUGUCCAACGUUAAUCGGGGCAGGGUGAGUCGACCCCUAAGGCGAGGCCGAAAGGCGUAGUCGAUGGGAAACGGGUUAAUAUUCCCGUACUUGGUGUUACUGCGAAGGGGGGACGGAGAAGGCUAUGUUGGCCGGGCGACGGUUGUCCCGGUUUAAGCGUGUAGGCUGGUUUUCCAGGCAAAUCCGGAAAAUCAAGGCUGAGGCGUGAUGACGAGGCACUACGGUGCUGAAGCAACAAAUGCCCUGCUUCCAGGAAAAGCCUCUAAGCAUCAGGUAACAUCAAAUCGUACCCCAAACCGACACAGGUGGUCAGGUAGAGAAUACCAAGGCGCUUGAGAGAACUCGGGUGAAGGAACUAGGCAAAAUGGUGCCGUAACUUCGGGAGAAGGCACGCUGACACGUAGGUGAAGUGAUUUACUCAUGGAGCUGAAGUCAGUCGAAGAUACCAGCUGGCUGCAACUGUUUAUUAAAAACACAGCACUGUGCAAACACGAAAGUGGACGUAUACGGUGUGACGCCUGCCCGGUGCCGGAAGGUUAAUUGAUGGGGUCAGCGCAAGCGAAGCUCCUGAUCGAAGCCCCGGUAAACGGCGGCCGUAACUAUAACGGUCCUAAGGUAGCGAAAUUCCUUGUCGGGUAAGUUCCGACCUGCACGAAUGGCGUAAUGAUGGCCAGGCUGUCUCCACCCGAGACUCAGUGAAAUUGAACUCGCUGUGAAGAUGCAGUGUACCCGCGGCAAGACGGAAAGACCCCGUGAACCUUUACUAUAGCUUGACACUGAACAUUGAGCCUUGAUGUGUAGGAUAGGUGGGAGGCUUUGAAGUGUGGACGCCAGUCUGCAUGGAGCCGACCUUGAAAUACCACCCUUUAAUGUUUGAUGUUCUAACGUGGACCCGUAAUCCGGGUUGCGGACAGUGUCUGGUGGGUAGUUUGACUGGGGCGGUCUCCUCCUAAAGAGUAACGGAGGAGCACGAAGGUUGGCUAAUCCUGGUCGGACAUCAGGAGGUUAGUGCAAUGGCAUAAGCCAGCUUGACUGCGAGCGUGACGGCGCGAGCAGGUGCGAAAGCAGGUCAUAGUGAUCCGGUGGUUCUGAAUGGAAGGGCCAUCGCUCAACGGAUAAAAGGUACUCCGGGGAUAACAGGCUGAUACCGCCCAAGAGUUCAUAUCGACGGCGGUGUUUGGCACCUCGAUGUCGGCUCAUCACAUCCUGGGGCUGAAGUAGGUCCCAAGGGUAUGGCUGUUCGCCAUUUAAAGUGGUACGCGAGCUGGGUUUAGAACGUCGUGAGACAGUUCGGUCCCUAUCUGCCGUGGGCGCUGGAGAACUGAGGGGGGCUGCUCCUAGUACGAGAGGACCGGAGUGGACGCAUCACUGGUGUUCGGGUUGUCAUGCCAAUGGCACUGCCCGGUAGCUAAAUGCGGAAGAGAUAAGUGCUGAAAGCAUCUAAGCACGAAACUUGCCCCGAGAUGAGUUCUCCCUGAGACUUAGAGUCUCCUGAAGGAACGUUGAAGACGACGACGUUGAUAGGCCGGGUGUGUAAGCGCAGCGAUGCGUUGAGCUAACCGGUACUAAUGAACCGUGAGGCUUAACCUU
rnacentral:rRNA from 1 species